UAUAUAUCGGGGGCAGUGUCCCUCAUAUUUC
rfam:Astyanax mexicanus chromosome 3, whole genome shotgun sequence.